GCAGAGUAGAUGUUCAAGCGUACAGUGCUUUCCGGACGGGGAGUUGCCGGAAAGACGAAGGAUUUUGAGUUACUGUUCACAGAUCAUAUUCCGCAAAGUUUGACUUGCAGGCAAUCUGAUGUGAAUAGAGUGGACAGUAACGGAUCUUGAUUCGCGGUUUGAACAUCGCAUCCCGCUGC
rnacentral:ncRNA from 1 species